UACGUUGAUAGGCUGCAGGUGUAAAGACAGUAAUGUCAAAGCCGAGCAGUACUAAUUACCCGAACGGCUUUCCUA
rnacentral:rRNA from 1 species